rnacentral:tRNA from 1 species
GCCUGGGUGGCUCAGUUGGUUAAGCGUCCGACUUCAGCUCAGGUCGUGAUCUCACGGUUUGUGGGUUCAAGCCCCACGUCAGGCU